AUCUGCCUCAGUCACACCGCCGUUCCUCUCUCACUCCUUCACGCCUCUCAACAUCUCACAUCCAUCUUGGUCUAUCUCUUCCAUCUUCACCUCUGCCUCUCAACAUCUCAAAUGGGCGACACCGCCUGUGGUGGUGGAGAUGGCCAACGUCGCCGGCCUGCCUGAAGGACGACGACGACGACAGCGCGACGGUGCUUAUGGACGACGAUAUAGAUCUGGAUCCGCAUCAGAUUGAAGAGACCGCAUCCUUGUCCAGACCCUCGUCCUUAGAGAUAGUUCCGGGUUGUUUGGUUCUUGAAUCGGGAAGACGGCACAGCGGUGCUUAUUGACGACGUCGCCCACCUCCCUCUUCCAAUCUAUCGUCCGACGGCCCCGACGAUACAGAUCUGGAAUCGCAUCAGAUGGAAGAUACCGCAUCCUCGUCCAUAGAGAUAGUUCCGGGAUGUUUGGUUCUCUCGCAAAUCGGGAACGGGUAGCGCGUCCCUCACCACUUCCCUCGCUAGGGCUGUUGCUCCGACCAGAGGACUGCCUCCGCUAGAUUUGAUUGUCCAGAUUUGUUAGAUCUUUGAUGCUUAGUCCAGAAAGUUCUUUUCCCAAAAGCUGCCUGCAUUUAUGUGAAACAAAGAACUGUAUGAUUGCAGUUCAGCUUAUAUAAAUCCAAUUGGAAGUAUCAGUAUGAUGGAUCUUCGAGCAUUUCUGAAAUGGGCAGCCAUUCAUCUUGGUUACUCAACCUUGGCAGAAAUUGAAGCCACGCUGAAUUGGAGCCUAUACGAUGCAACUAUAGCCAGGUCUUAGUUUUGGCACACUAGUUCAUUGAUUGUUGUUUAGCCAUUCAUCUUAGUUCAUUGAUUUUUUUUUUUUAGCCACUCAUCUUAGUUCAUUGAUUGUUUUUUAGCCAUGUCUUAGCUUUCAGUUUGGAACUGCAAAUCUGUAAUUCAUUGAUUGUUUUUUAGCUUGAAGUAUUGUAAUUUUUUAAUGUUUGUAUGAGAAUUGA